GUGCCAGCCGCCGCGGUAAUACGUAGGGGGCAAGCGUUGUCCGGAAUCACUGGGUGUAAAGGGCGUGUAGGCGACUCUUUAAGUUGAAUGUGAAAUCUCUCGGCUCAACUGAGAACGGUCAUUCAAUACUGGAGGGAUACGAGGACGGAAGAGGGAAGUGGAAUUCUCGGUGUAGCGGUAAAAUGCGUAGAUAUCGAGAGGAACACCGGGGGCGAAGGCGGCUUCCUGGUCCGUUCCUGACGCUGAGGCGCGAAAGCGUGGGUAGCAAACGGGAUUAGAUACCCCGGUAGGCCAGGCCCUAAACGUUGACUACUAGGUGUUGGAGAGGUUCAAUCUCUUCAGUGCCGCAGCUAACGCGAUAAGUAGUCCACCUGGGGAGUACGGCCGCAAGACUGAAACUCAAAGGAAUUGACGGGG
rnacentral:rRNA from 1 species